rnacentral:rRNA from 1 species
CCUACGGGUGGCUGCAGUAGGGAAUAUUGCACAAUGGGGGAAACCCUGAUGCAGCGACGCCGCGUGAGUGAAGAAGUAUUUCGGUACGUAAAGCUCUAUCAUCAGGGAAGAAAAUGACGGUACCUGACUGAAAGUCCCCUGCUAACUACGUGCCAGCAGCCGCCGUAAUACGUAGGGGGCAAGCGUUCGCCGGAUGUACUGGGUGUAAAGGGAGCGUAGACGGCAGCGCAAGUCUGGAGUGAAAUCCCAUGGCUUAACCAGGGAACUGCGUUGGAAACUGUGCAGCUAGAGUGCAGGAGAGGUAAGCGGAAUUCCGAGUGUAGCGGUGAAAUGCGUAGAUAUGAGGAGGAACACCAGUGGCGAAGGCGGCUGACUGGACUGUAACUGACGUUGAGGCUCGAAAGCGUGGGGAGCAAACAGGAUUAGAUACCCGUGUAGUC